AGAGAUCUAAGCCCCGACCAGGUACCUAGCUACAUGCCCUGGAGACACAGACUUGGGAGAGACAUCCAGUGAUGCUCACCAGGGGUGCCAGCGCUCCCUCCCUUGCCUAGCCUCACUGUACUUGUUAUCCAUUUCUAAUUAGAAGAAAGCAACUCCAGACUGGGAGCACCACCCCUAACAUGCUACUGACUUGUAUUCUUCCUUAUCAUUCCAACGCUAGUUGCUGCCCCCUUUGACGAGGAUGACAAGAUCACUGGAGACUACACCUCUGCAUCCAGGUGAUACUGGGAGAGCACAACAUCGAAGUCCUGGAGGGGACUGAGCAGUUCAUCAAUGCAGCCAAGAUCAUCCACCACCCUAAAUACAACAGGAAUACUCUGAGCAAUGACAUCUUGCUGAUCAAGCUCUCCUCACCUGCCAUCAUCAAUACCCACGUGUCCACCAUCUCUCUGCCCACUGCCCCUCCAGCCGCAGGCACCAAGUGCCUCAUCUCCGGCUGGGGCAACACUCUGAGCUCUGGCGGGUUAAGACGCAUUUCUAGUGCCCAUCACACACAGGCUCUGCACUGGGCAUCAGAGGAUGCAAAGUCUCCAGGAGUUGGCUCCUAAAAUCAAGAGACCAGACAAAUGGAGAACUUGGUAUGAUCACGUCUUGGGAGAGGUUCAACAAUGAUCAUUCUGGGAACUAAAAGCCAGAGCCUCUUGCCAGGACGCAUGUUUUGGAGCCCUCUCCAGGCCGACUACCCAGACGAGCUGCAGUGCCUGGACACUCCUGUGCUGACCCAGGCUGAGUGUGAAGCCUCCUACCCUGGAAGGAUUACCAGCAACAUGUUCUGUGUGGGCUUCCUUGAGGGAGGCAAGGAUUCUUGCCAGUUGAUUUGGAAAACCCUUCCCAUGCUGAGGCUCCCACUGACAGCCAGAGUCCACCCGAGAAAAAGAUUUGAACUCCCAAGGUGGCAGGGCUAAGGAGGCUCCCUGCAGUGCCCCCAGUGAGAAGUGAGGAAGGCUCCCUUGGGCUGCAUGCUGUCUGCUUAGGAAGAACAGAGAAUGGGCCACCGUGAGAAGGAUGUGGAGCCACAGAGCUGCCUGGAAAGGGGUCUUUUAAGGUUCAGAGUAAAUAUAGCUAUAUUCCUCCUCUAUCUCUCCAUACAACUUGUCCCUUCUUCCCCCCAGGGGGACUCUGGUGGCCCUGUGGUCUCCAACGGACAGCUCCAAGGCAUUGUCUCCUGGGGCAAUGGCUGUGCCCAGAAAAACAAGCCUGGAGUCUACACCAAGGUCUACAACUAUUUGGCCUAGAUUAAGGACACCAUAGCUGCCAAUGGCUAAAGCCCCAGUCUCUCUGCAGUCUCUAUACCAAUAAAAUGACCCUGUUCUCCCUGUG